GGAAGUGGAUAGGGCUCUGGUGGCCCUCCCGGUCUUCAAAACCGGUGGGGGGGCGAAAGCUCCCCGGUGGGUUCGAUUCCCAUGCACUUCCGCCA
rnacentral:tRNA from 1 species